UUAAUCUUUAGUUACGAUAUGCAACUGUUGCAAAUAAAACCCGAAUGGACUUUAGCAAGGUCACAGGAGAAAAGUUUCACCAAGGUCAACUCUUAACCUUUGCUUCUAGCCUUACUUAGUAUAUAUGGAUAUCCACUUUCCAUAUCGACAUUUCCCUUGUAAACUAUUUACAAAACCUUAUGGGUUUUAUUUCAUCAGGAGGCUUAACCAAGGUCCAAACCUUGUUCACAUAUGCCGAGUUCAUCUCGAGUAUCAUGGCCUCAUGCUGUCUCUUUUAAGUCAACACUUGACUUUAUUUUGUUGCAACUAGCAGGUUCAUUAUCCUGGAUCACUGAUUAAUGAUUCGCACCUUCUUGAAGGUCGAAUGGGCCUACUAGAUUCACAUAGAGCUGUCAUGUCCUCAGGAGUCUUUACUUCCUCAUCCAAAGUAUGUCACAUAUCAGAUAUGGGAUCAAAUUUGGAUUUAUCUACUUGGUUAACUAUAUCUGUGGACUUUUGAACUCUUUCAAAAUUCUAUUUUACUCCCACUGUUCUCUCCUAGAGUAAACAUUUUCUCUAAGAAGACGAUGUGUUGUGAGACGAAGACUUUCUUCAUGAUAAUAGAAUUUAUAUUCAAUUGUCUCCUUUGAAUAUCUCACAAAUAUGUAUUUAUCGGAUUUAGUCUCAAACUUAUCCGAUUUAAGGCCCUUCAAAUAAGCGUCAUGUUCCCAAUCUUUCAUAUAAGAUAAAUUGGAACUGUUGUCUUUCCAUAACUCGUAUGGAGUUCUGUUAACCAAUUUAGAUGGGACAUGGUUUAGUGUGUUGCACACUGCAAUCAAUGCGUGACCUCAAAACAAUUUUGAGAAAUUUACAUGGCUUGUUAUUAAUCGCAUUAUAUUAACGAUUCCUCCUUUUAGAUACACCACCUUGCUGCAGUGCAUAUGAAGGAGUCCACUGCACGAGAAUCUCAUUCUCUCUUAGAUAAUCUAAAUUUUAUCUUUAAGAUACUCUCACUUAAUCGAAUCUUAAUGUGAAGGUAUCUUUACCUAUUUAUUUCUCUAAUUCUAGUGUGAAUCCCUUGAACUUUUCAAGAAUUUCAUGUUUGAGUUUUCAUCAAAUAUACAUGAUCAUUGAUGAAAUAAGAGAAACAUUACCUGGCAUCUUUUGACAUGAGUCCAUAUGCAUCACUACGC
rnacentral:lncRNA from 1 species